CUCUUCUCCACCAUCACUACAACCCCAUCCGACCAGCCACAUCUGACAAGCCAUUUUCAUCCAGCCUCCUGUCACCAGCCACCCCAAGUUCCAACUAAACUGCUGGGUCUUCUUUUGGUUCUUAAUACAAGGGAUUUAAACCUCUCUCGAUCUUUAUUGGGUUGCAACAAAGGAGGAUUUAACACAAACUCUUUGUUUUCUCCACUGAAAUUUGGGUUGGCUCAUUGGAUAGUACUUGACGCUUAUCGUUUAAGCUUGUAAAGUUUGUGUCUACAAGAGGUCAGGAAAAUGUUCAGGAUCGGCAGCUGGAGGCGUGACAGUGUCGUGUAGCCCGUGUUUACUAGAUGUCUAUUUCCUUACCCUUAGUUAGGAUUGUUAAACGUUUUAAAUGGUUGAACUUUAUGUAUGACUCAGUCACCUUUGACUUGAGCUAUUGUUUGUUUCCGCUACGAUAUGGACCAUUGAGGCCUUAAUUACGAUGAUAGUAUUGAGUUAUGUUAUGGAGGCUUAAUGCCAUUGGAGUCCUCUUUAGGAUAA